CCAGUUUCUCCCCUAGGUCAGAGGAAACAUUUAUAAAAACAAAACAGCAGAACCAAGAAACUAAUUCUCCGGGCACGGAAUUAUUUGUUUUUCCCUCCUGUGAUUCCAAGCCCAAACUAAGUCUUCACAUCUACAAACCGAUCCUUUUUAUUAAGAAAAAGUAAAAGAAAUCGCUCACGAUCCGUUUGACUGGUGUUUCAACUUGCGGUCGGGAACUUAAAUUUCGGAACUGCAAGUUGCACGACAAGUUCCUGAUAAACAAUUUAGUGUCCUCUUUCACACCUCUGUAGACGGCACCGCACCUUUCCUCCCGGGACAGCAGGUUCCCCGCCGGCGCCGCCCUGCACCUGCUGGAGCCACAGUUCGGACUCGGGACCGCGAGGGUCAAUUUCUUAGGGCGACAGUCCCCGCGCCGCGGCGUUCUCGGUUACAGGGGCCACCCGCCCUUGAACUUGAAGCGCGUGGGACCGAACACUUGGCCGAGCUGGGGUGUUCGGGACAGAACGCCACCCCGAGCGGAGGCUCGCGGGCCGGAAUGCCACCGCCGCUCGGCGUCCAGGCACCCGGCGGUCCCGCCUGUGCGCACUCACCUCCGCCGUACAUCUGGCACAGUCUUCUGCUUUGGUUUAGACUUCCAGCAAAAUGUUGAUGUCAUCUGAGGGUAACAGAAUGCAGUGUUCUGCAGAUUAAAGGCUGUACAAGUAUAGAUGUUACCAGCUUCUCUAACAUUAAAAAGUUCACUCACUAACGCAAAAGGAUGGCUCUUCUUCCCACUCUAAACUGCUGUCUACCAUGAAGAAAUCUCACUGUACUUGCAUGGAGGCUCUGGAGCAUAUGACAGAGGCGUAUUUGGGACAAUAGAAAAGAAUCAUUACAUUUUUUUUCUCUUCGCAAUUACAGAACUGAAGAUAAGAAUGAUAGUUCUAAUAUUACAAGGAAAGCCUAAACAUUGGAAAAAGAACAGAAUAUGACAAAAUGCUUCUAAAUACAUGCCUGAGGUGAAUGGAGAUAGCUUGUAUGUUCAUGUGUGGCAGGUUCUAGACAAAAUCUCCAGUCUUUAAUCUUCAGAUUCAUNNNNNNNNNUUCAUUUUACAGCCCCACUGCAGCAGAAGUCAGUUAUACUCAGGGCUAGUUCAUUUUACAGCCCCACUGCAGCAGAAGUCAGUUAUACUCAGGGCUAGUUCAUUUUACAGCCCCACUGCAGCAGAAGUCACUUAUACUCAGGGCUAGUGCUAUUAUGGUGACUUGGAGUCUACACCAGAUCACCUAAGAUAUCUUCAGAUUCUAGGCCUGCAUUUAAAAUUUAGACCCUUGAUAUCUUAGUACAAUUGCAACAAACCUAAAAUCAACAAGAACAGCUAACAUGUCUAUGAGUUAAGGGUUAGCAAACCUCCUCCCAAGACAAAUCUAAUCUUGAAUUCACUUUAUAGAUGUCUUCCCUGAGAACAAAUGCAAAAUGUCAGCUUCAGCUGGGUUUCUAUGCAAAGCCACUGAUGACAAAAUGACCCCAACUAGCAAAGGACAUCAGUGCCAGAACACUGCGAAGUAUAAAUACCUAGCGUUGCCUUGCUAGUUGCUGUUUCUGUGCCUUUGCCUGCAACUGAGUACAGUGUGGUGAGGAAAAAGGUCUAGCUGAGCCUAAAAGCAACCCUGUAGCUCAUUGGCAAGUGGGGAGAGGAACCCCAAGCCAGGAGCAGCCAGCUUACUUUGCCAGUCUUUUCCGUGUCUUUGAUUUGAUCAUUCUUUUUGGUGAGAAUCUCUUUCAUGUUUCGAUAAGCUGCUGUUUGUUGAAAUUUCUUCUCUAACUCCUGUUUUAUGAAAAAUGUUGUCAGCCCAUUACUAAGGAACGUUAAGGGAAGAAUAACAAAUGUGAUUAAAAAA
ensembl:processed_transcript